rnacentral:rRNA from 1 species
UCCUACGGGGAGGCAGCAGUGGGGAAUAUUGCACAAUGGGCGCAAGCCUGAUGCAGCCAUGCCGCGUGUGUGAAGAAGGCCUUCGGGUUGUAAAGCACUUUCAGUCGUGAGGAAGGUAGUGUAGUUAAUAGCUGCAUUAUUUGACGUUAGCGACAGAAGAAGCACCGGCUAACUCCGUGCCAGCAGCCGCGGUAAUACGGAGGGUGCGAGCGUUAAUCGGAAUUACUGGGCGUAAAGCGCAUGCAGGUGGUUCGUUAAGUCAGAUGUGAAAGCCCGGGGCUCAACCUCGGAACAGCAUUUGAAACUGGCGGACUAGAGUACUGUAGAGGGGGGUAGAAUUUCAGGUGUAGCGGUGAAAUGCGUAGAGAUCUGAAGGAAUACCGGUGGCGAAGGCGGCCCCCUGGACAGAUACUGACACUCAGAUGCGAAAGCGUGGGGAGCAAACAGGAUUAGAUACCCUGGUAGUCCACGCCGUAAACGAUGUCUACUUGGAGGUUGUGGCCUUGAGCCGUGGCUUUCGGAGCUAACGCGUUAAGUAGACCGCCUGGGGAGUACGGUCGCAAGAUUAAAACUCAAAUGAAUUGACGGA